rnacentral:rRNA from 1 species
GUCCUUUUGUUUUAUAUUUAAGGUUUGACCUGCCCACUGAAUAAUUUAAAUGGCCGCAGUAUUUUAACUGUGCAAAGGUAGCAUAAUCAUUAGUUUUUUAAUUAAAAGCUUGUAUGAAAGGUUGGACGAGGUAAAAACUGUCUUUAUUUAAUUAAUUAUAAAAUUUAAUUUUUAAGUUAAAAAGCUUAAAUUUUUUUAAAAGACGAGAAGACCCUAUAGAUCUUUAUAUUUAUUAUUAUAUUUUUAAUUAAGAUUUAUUUAAAUUUUAUUUUAUUAAAUAUUUUAUUGGGGUAAUAAGAAGAUUAAAAAAAUUCUUUUCUAUAUUUUUCAUUGAUUAAUGUUUUAAUGAUCCAAUUUUAUUGAUUAUAAGAUUAAGUUACCUUAGGGAUAACAGCGUAAUUUUUUUAGAGAGUUCAUAUCGAUAAGAAAGUUUGCGACCUCGAUGUUGGAUUAAAGAUUAAUUUAGGUGUAGAUGUUUAAAUUUUUGGUCUGUUCGACCAUUAAAUCUUUACAUGAUCUGAGUUCAGACCGGUGUAAGCCAGGUCGGUUUCUAUCUUUAAUAAAAUAAUAUAUUUUAGUACGAAAGGACCAAAUAUAUAAUAUAUAAAUAUUUAUUAAUUUUUGAAUAUUAUUAAUUGCUUUGGCAGAUUAGUGCAAUGAAUUUAGAAUUCAUAUAUGUAAAUUUUUACAAGUAAUACUUGUUUUAUAUAGAUAUUAUAUUUUCUUUUAUUUGUAUAUUAUUAUUAGUUAUUUGUGUAUUA